rnacentral:rRNA from 1 species
UAGGGAAUAUUGGGCAAUGGAGGGAACUCUGACCCAGCCAUGCCGCGUGCAGGAUGAAGGCGUUAUGCGUUGUAAACUGCUUUUUAUAUAGGAAGAAAUAGUCCUUGCGAGGAAAGUUGACGGUACUAUAUGAAUAAGCACCGGCUAACUCCGUGCCAGCAGCCGCGGUAAUACGGAGGGUGCAAGCGUUGUCCGGAUUUAUUGGGUUUAAAGGGUGCGUAGGCGGUUUAUUAAGUCAGUGGUGAAAGACGGUCGCUCAACGAUUGCAGUGCCAUUGAUACUGGUAGACUUGAGUAUGAUUGAGGUAGCUGGAAUGGAUAGUGUAGCGGUGAAAUGCAUAGAUAUUAUCCAGAACACCAAUUGCGUAGGCAAGUUACUAAGUCAUAACUGACGCUGAGGCACGAAAGUGUGGGUAUCAAACAGGAUUAGAUACCCUAGUAGUCCCUGAGCGGGCUGGCAAGGCGCAU